CCUACGGGAGGCAGCAGUAGGGAAUUUUCGUCAAUGGGCGAGAGUCUGAACCAGCCAAGUAUCGUGAAGGAUGACUGCCCUAUGGGUUGUAAACUUCUUUUAUCUGGGAAUAAAAUGUUCCUCGUGUGGGUUUUUGUAUGUACCAUAUGAAUAAGGAUCGGCUAACUCCGUGCCAGCAGCCGCGGUAAUACGGAGGAUUCGAGCGUUAUCCGGAUUUAUUGGGUUUAAAGGGAGCGUAGGUGGAUUGUUAAGUCAGUUGUGAAAGUUUGCGGCUCAACCGUCAAAUUGCAGUUGAAACUGGCAGUCUUGAGUACAGGAGAGGUGUGCGGAAUUCGUGGUGUAGCGGUGAAAUGCUUAGAUAUCACGAAGAACUCCGAUUGCGAAGGCAGCUCACUGGACUGCAACUGACACUGAGGCUCGAAAGUGUGGGUAUCGAACAGGAUUAGAUACCCGAGUAGUC
rnacentral:rRNA from 1 species